AACGAACGCUGGCGGCAGGCCUAACACAUGCAAGUCGAGCGAAGCCUUCGGGCUUAGCGGCGGACGGGUGAGUAACGCGUGGGAACGUGCCCUUUGGUACGGAAUAGCCCCGGGAAACUGGGAGUAAUACCGUAUGUGCCCUUCGGGGGAAAGAUUUAUCGCCAAAGGAUGGGCCCGCGUUGGAUUAGGUAGUUGGUGGGGUAACGGCCUACCAAGCCGACGAUCCAUAGCUGGUUUGAGAGGAUGAUCAGCCACACUGGGACUGAGACACGGCCCAGACUCCUACGGGAGGCAGCAGUGGGGAAUCUUAGACAAUGGGGGAAACCCUGAUCUAGCCAUGCCGCGUGAUCGAUGAAGGCCUUAGGGUUGUAAAGAUCUUUCAGUGGGGGAGAUAAUGACUGUACCCACAGAAGAAGCCCCGGCUAACUCCGUGCCAGCCGCCGCGGUAAUAC
rnacentral:rRNA from 1 species